UACGGGGGAGCAAGCGUUGUUCGGAUUACUGGGCGUAAAGGGCGCGUAGGCGGCCACCGCAAGUCAGUUGUGAAAGCUCUGGGCUUAACCCAGAAAGGUCAACUGAUACUGCGGGGCUAGAGUGCAGAAGGGGCAACUGGAAUUCUCGGUGUAGCGGUGAAAUGCGUAGAUAUCGAGAGGAACACCUGCGGCGAAGGCGGGUUGCUGGGCUGACACUGACGCUGAAGUGCGAAAGCUAGGGGAGCGAACGGG
rnacentral:rRNA from 1 species